rnacentral:rRNA from 1 species
UACGGAGGAUGCAAGCGUUAUCCGGAAUGAUUGGGCGUAAAGCGUCCGCAGGUGGCAAUGUAAGUCUGCUGUCAAAGCGUCUGGCUCAACCAGAUAAAGGCAGUGGAAACUACAUAGCUAGAGUAAGGUAGGGGUAGAGGGAAUUCCUGGUGUAGCGGUGAAAUGCGCAGAUAUCAGGAAGAACACCCGUGGCGAAGGCGGCUCUCUGGGACGGUACUGACGCUGAGACGCGAAAGCGUGGGGAGCGAACAGG